GCAUUGGUGGUUCAGUGGUAGAAUUCUCGCCUGCCACGCGGGAGACCCGGGUGCGAUUCCCGGCCAAUGCA
rfam:Danio rerio chromosome 4, GRCz11 reference primary assembly.